UACGUAGGGGGCAAGCGUUGUCCGGAAUCAUUGGGCGUAAAGCGCGCGUAGGCGGCCCGGUAAGUCCGCUCUGAAAGUCCAAGGCUCAACCUUGGAAUGCGGGUGGAUACUGCCGGGCUAGAGUCCGGAAGAGGCGAGUGGAAUUCCUGGUGUAGCGGUGAAAUGCGCAGAUAUCAGGAGGAACACCAAUUGCGAAGGCAGCUCGCUGGGACGUUACUGACGCUGAGACGCGAAAGCGUGGGGAGCAAACAGG
rnacentral:rRNA from 1 species